GCAGCCUCCAGGCCACGGUGGCCGCUGUCAGCAGGGACACCUCCCAAAUGUGCAGGAGUGUCCGCGCUCUCUGGGACGUGCAGAGGACAGAACGUGCCUGACCCUACAGCUCUGAUGACUUAGCAGCAGGCCCCAGAAAAUGGCCCAAGCCGGUCCCUGCCACAGGCAGGCCCCGCGGCCAGGCUCCGGGCGUCCUGCAUCCUCCCUGCCCCCACCUUCCCCUGCUCCUUGCUUAGCGGGUGCUAUGGAGACCGCACUAUAGAAACACCCAGCUGAAAGCAUUUAAGACCCACAGUACGCUCCCACUUAGUCACCCUGGGCUGAACAGCCCUGUAAUCCGAGAAGACAAAAGUGAUCAGAACACAUGUCUCCUCUCCUCUGUGGAGCAAGCCGGUGACUCAGAGCGGGGGAAGGGUGUUCUAGAAAACACCCGAGGCUUUGGUUCCCCUCACCGGAUAGGCCAUCGUGGCUUUCCCACCGUUUCUCAAAACACCAACGCUGCCCCUAACCGCUGCAGCUGGUGAAUGACAGCGGACUCCUUGGGCCUCAGCUGUCGCCACUGUGCGGAAAGACAGGUGCGGUGUGCCCGGUGCUGCCGCCGAAAGCCCUCUCAGCUCUGACAGCAUAAGACGCUCCAGAUUUCCCACGGUGCUAUCCAAUUGUUUUUUUCCAGGAGGACCCCUAACUGCUUAUACUCCAAGGAAAGAAGAUGUCCCACUGCUGGGAUGCGGUGCCUUGUCCACAGACCGCCUUUCACACUGAAGAGCUUUUUAAAAUGAGAACAGCAGACGCAUAAGGGGCUUAAACCACUGCCGUCAAACUCCACGUGUUAACAGGAGCAGCCUCUGCCAUUAUCUUUUUUGAAGAUCUCAAUUAUGGUUAUUUUGUUUUUGCUUUGUUAAUUACACAUCCCUUGAAAUAGAACAAAUCUCUCCCCUUUCUCAGAGGGCAAUCUGGAGGCGCCUCCCAGAACAACAGAGACCAGUGAGGGGGAGCAAACUGCAGGAACCGCCUGCUUCAGUCACCACAGGCCCCAGCAAUAGCCCACAGCCCACAGCCCACACCCCACACCCAGAACACUCGAGGCCCCGCUCUCUGCGUCUCAGAGAGGGAACGGAGAAGAUGGAUCAGGGCAGAGGAGGGGGCCCUUGGCAACCUCAACCCCAGCUGGGUGGGUGGGCCCUCUGCCCUCCCAACGGCAGGAGCCUGCCUGUGUCAGCAGCUCCAAGUGCCGGGCUGCUGAGAGCCUGGCACUGGGCUGGCAGGGACCGUCCAGGGCCCUGGCCCUCUGCGCUCGGGCAGGAGGUUUGGCCCACACUGGGGGUGACCCCGCCCCACACCCACGGCCAUCCAUCUGCCUCCAGCCUUCUCUUCCUGGGCUCUCGCCUCUGCUGUGGUCUUGGCGGCCCCUCCCUCAGAGCUCAGAGCCUACACAAGGGGUGGGAAGGGCACACUGCCUCCCCACGGCCCCCACCGGCCGGCCACACACCGACGCGAAUCCCAAAGGCACGGACGACUGCUGGGUUUUCUAACAGUCAUGCUGUCCCUUGGAGGACGAGGACUCCUGCCUAAUCAGAGCUGGGCUGGGGGUGGGGCCAAAGGAAACAGAAACUGGAGAAAUCCUUGGCCAAGUCCCUCCGGAUCUAUAAGGGGAUCGUGCACCCAGAGCCUGACCAACUCCACUCAGCACUGCUUCCCAAAGUGCUUCACCCGGGAUGGCUCUCGGCACCAGUCCCACCCCAGCCCGGACCCUUCCAUCAGAAGCCCUGGAGACCGCCAACCAGCCAGGGGCCGGCUGUCCAUCAGAACCACCCCGAAGCUUUGAGAACCUGACAGUCAGGCUAAAGUACAACCAUGCACCCGCAUGCCUGGGGAGGGGGAUCCUGGGCCAGAGACAGGGCGCCAGGCAAGGCCUGUGACCACGCCCUGUCAGACACACAGUACGUCCUCCACUGACUGUCCCCUGUAGCCGCCUCCACACAGAUGGGCGCUUCUGUCAGCGCCUGGUCCAGAGAGCACGGCAAUGACCAGAGGUGCAGGGCGUGACCUCAGCCGUGUGGGCAGUACUUGGUGUGCCCCCUACUUCUAGAAAAAAUCCUCUGUCCUAGUUUGUGCCCUAAAUGCCUCUAAGUGCCUGUUCCCUGACCUAUAAUUAAAAUCAAUUCUCUCGCUGGAAAUCUCAAAACACAGUCUCAAUUAUCAGCAGUUCACAAAACUGGCCCAGUCCCACUCACGGGGAGCCCAUCACAGAUGGACUGACAGACAGACACGCUCACGGGGGACAAGCCUCCACCCCGCUCAGGAGCUCAGGUGCCUCGGGGGAGGUGUGUAGGUGUUCCAAGGGUCAACCCCUGCCUGGCGGGUGCUCGGGUGCCUCUCUACCCUCCCUGGCGAGCAUCCUGCCCACACUGAGCUCCAGUCAGGGAGGGAAAACACAUGGGCCAGGGGCUCCAGAAGGCUCACAGGUGACCCCAGGGAUUGACCCAAGGAAGUCCACCCA